UAAUUGUAGUGAUUGAUCAAU
ensembl:piRNA 21ur-616 ncRNA